rnacentral:rRNA from 1 species
CCAUGACUGGGGUGAAGUCGUAACAAGGUAACCGUAGGUGAACCUGCAGAAGGACCA